rnacentral:tRNA from 1 species
AGAAAUUUAGGUUAUAUAAGACCGAAAGCCUUCAAAGCUUUUAGUAAGUUAAACAUACUUAAUUUCUG